UUGUAUGCGAUGUCGCAUGUCUGGACUUGUUCAGUGUUGCAAUUUUUACCCUUCGUUAAUAUCUUGUUGUUGUUGUCGUCUUGUGUUAGACGUUGAGCUUCGUAGCGAUGUGCGGUAACGCUACGAUUAUUCCUGAGCGCUCCGUGUGUUUAAUGCGUUGUCCUCUUUGCGUGCAUGCGUGUGCUUUUUUUCUCCUGAUUUGUGACGUCCUCGUGGCAUGUCUGGACUUGUUUAGCAGUGUUGCAGUUCUUCCCGCUGCUAGUAUCUUGUUGGUGUCAUGUUGUGCUAGCCGCGUGGCGAUGUGUGGUGACCUGAGGUCUUAAGCCUUUUCCCUGCUCACCUAAGGAAAUUUGUGUAUCCCUGUCCUGUGCUUUCUUUACGCAAGGGUAAUGCGACUGUGUAUGUGGCAUUAUGCAAGAAUUAUCUGGUGGCAGAAAUAGGCGUAUUUUUCUCAGUGUAUUGGCGUGCGCUACGGUUUCUUGCAGUUACAGCUAUUGGAGCACACAUACGUGUAAUUUUUCGCGGUUCUUUUCUCCUUUCACGGCUUUUACUCAGAAUGUAGAUGAGGGGAAACAGUCAGCAUCCAGGUAGAGCAGGAGAAAGCCGCUCGGCAGAGGAGAGAGUUCAUGAGAAUGGAAUUUGUUUGUUUGUUUUUUGUUAUAUGUUGAGUGUUAGUAUUCGCUUUCCUCGAUAUGUUGAGGAAGUCAGCCGUUAUAGGUAUUUGUGCAGAAAUGCUGGUAUCUGAGUGUGUGGAGUAGAAAUUCCUAUAAAGCACCUCUCCUUGUGCAUUCCUGAGCUGCUGUGUGCGCGCGCGUGCUUCUUUUUCCUGGAUUGCGACGUCAUGAUGGCAUGUUGGGGCUUGUUUAGCAGUGUUGCAAUUUUACCCGCUGCUAUUAUCUUGUUAUCUUGUGUUAGCCGCGUAGCGAUAAGCGGUGAUUCUCCGAUUAUUCCUGAGGUCUUAAGCCUUUUCCCUGCUCACCUAAGGAAAUUUGUGUAUCCCUGUCCUGUGCUUUCUUUGCGACAAUGCGUCUGUGUAUGUGGCACUAUCAGAUACCAGACAUGAGUGUCCUUUUCUUGGUUUAUUGGCAUAUGCUUCAGGUUUUUUUAAGUCAAGCACAAGUGCGCGCAAUUUUUCGCUGCUCUCUUCCUCAGAUCACCGAUUUUACGAAGAAGACAGUCGCAUGGUACAGCUGAGAAGAGGGUUUCUCUGAUUGUUUGUUUGAUUUUGUUGGGUGUUCGAUAUGUUGAGGAAGUCAGCUGUUAAAGGUAUCCGUGAAGAAAUGCUUGCACCUGAGCGCAGGAUAGGAAUUCCUGAAGCACGGCACCCUCAGUGUAAAUUAAUUAUGUUGGAUAUGAGUCUGCUUCCCUGCAUGACAAGGCUGAAAUGGGAAGAGAGAAAAAAUUGGAGCGCUUCAUUAGUAGCGAUCCAAGUAAUAGGGCAAUUAUAGUUUCCAUAGAAAGUAGAAUUUUAAUGGGCUCCUAAAAUUAUAGUUUAGUUGUAGUUUUUCUAAACUGCAAUGCAAUAAUCAUUAAUAUAGUAUAGGAAUGCUAUCGUGUUCCCGUAAAGGCGUUCUGUCUUGUGCUUUGGAAUGCGCGAAUAGAACUUUGCUCGCAGCCUUUCCCGCCUUCAUGCUCGCAAUGCGCGAAUGGAACUUUGCCCACCCGGCUUCCGCGCCUUUUUUGCUCGCGGGUGUAGCCUCAGACAACGAAUGUAUGAGCAUAGAAAGGGUCACGUAUUACAUAAGCCUGGAGGUGAUGUUGAGUGGUCUCACUUAUUAUUUUAAAAGAGCAGUGGCAGUUUACUGUAAUUCUAAUGACCAUGAUGAGCCUUUGGGGUGAAAAUCGUUAAUAUGCGGGUGCUUUUUUGUUGAAUUUUAAUGAGAGAAUCAAUGUCAUUAAGAGUAGGACAAAGGAAAUAAUCUUGCGAUUCAAUAAUUAAUAGAAGUCUUUGCCGCUGUCUUCUUCUUCUUCAGACAGGAUGUGAUGACGACACGCAGUCUGUAGCAAUGCAUUGACCGUCACUGGAAAAAAAGUGUAGCAAUAGAAAAAUGGUUGACCUUGUCUAGAGGAGCAUUAGUGGAAAAAAACUGUGUAGCCCUGAGACAAUAGGAUGCCGUUACGACCAAUGAGAACGGCCUGCAGGGGGCGCAAGGAUUCACUUCUCUCUUGGACACUGACGGGUCUCGACACGCAAAUUCUGCUCCUGGCGUUGGCCGUCAGUGGAAGAGCGUAGCUUAGGUGGAUUUUGUGACGAGCGGAUUUACAAUGAGGGAAUGCUGUGAACGGGAAAAAUGAUGAGCUGUCCUAACUUGCCCAGACAUGCCAUGAUGACGUCACAGCUGACGUCACAGGAUGUCCGGAACUUGUGGUCAUAGCUGGGAUGCUUUGCAACCUGCCUCUGUGCUCCGUCGCCCGGCGAUGGUCAGCGGCCUUUCCGGGCCGCUUCCUUCAAGAUGGCGUCGUUGAUCUUCAACUAAACUCCUUCUCUCCACUCUAUCUCUAUCUAUUUUUUUAUUUUUUAUGACCACGUUUAUCCGGAAACGCACAGGGUGGUCUGGACACUAGUUAGACGCUCCCCAAUUAGUGUGAUGACUCAUUGGAUGAUGCUGAUUAAUGUGGGGGGUCCCAAUUAGCUCUAAUUGCUAAUUAAUGGCGUCCAGAAGCCUUGUAGCGUUUCCGGAUAAGCGUGGUCAGUACUUACUACU